rnacentral:tRNA from 1 species
GGUUAUGGUUCAGUGGGAGGAUGCUUACCUAGGGUGGAUGAGGACCUGGGUUCAAUCCUCAGCACCA